GAUGAACGCUAGCUACAGGCUUAACACAUGCAAGUCGAGGGGAAACGACAUCGAAAGCUUGCUUUUGAUGGGCGUCGACCGGCGCACGGGUGAGUAACGCGUAUCCAACCUGCCCAUCACUUGGGGAUAACCUUGCGAAAGUAAGACUAAUACCCAAUGAUAUCUCUAGAAGACAUCUGGAAGAGAUUAAAGAUUUAUCGGUGAUGGAUGGGGAUGCGUCUGAUUAGCUUGUUGGCGGGGUAACGGCCUACCAAGGCAACGAUCAGUAGGGGUUCUGAGAGGAAGGUCCCCCACAUUGGAACUGAGACACGGUCCAAACUCCUACGGGAGGCAGCAGUGAGGAAUAUUGGUCAAUGGGCGAGAGCCUGAACCAGCCAAGUAGCGUGCAGGAAGACGGCCCUAUGGGUUGUAAACUGCUUUUAUAAGGGAAUAAAGUGAGAGUCGUGACUCUUUUUGUAUGUACCUUAUGAAUAAGGACCGGCUAAUUCCGUG
rnacentral:rRNA from 1 species